CCUACGGGAGGCAGCAGUGAGGAAUAUUGGGCAAUGGCCGUAAGGCUGAACCAGCCAAGUCGCGUGAAGGAAGAAGGAACAAUGGGUUGUAAACUUCUGUUAUAGGGGAAUAAAGGUAGCCACGUGUGGAGAUUGGCAUGUACCCUAUGAAUAAGCAUCGGCUAACUCCGUGCCAGCAGCCGCGGUAAUACGGAGGAUGCGAGCGUUAUCCGGAUUUAUUGGGUUUAAAGGGAGCGUAGAUGGGUUGUUAAGUCAGUUGGGAAAGUUUGCGGCUCAACCGUAAAAUUGCAAUUGAUACUGGCAGCCUUGAGUACCGUUGCGGUAGGCGGAAUUCGUUGUGUAGCGGUGCCAUGCU
rnacentral:rRNA from 1 species